rnacentral:rRNA from 1 species
GACGAACGCUGGCGGCGUGCCUAACACAUGCAAGUCGAACGGGGCUCUUUGGAUCGAGACUUCGGUCAAGUGAAUCUGAGCUUAGUGGCGGACGGGUGAGUAACGCGUGAGGAACCUGCCUCAAAGAGGGGGACAACAGUUGGAAACGACUGCUAAUACCGCAUAAGCCCACAGCUCGGCAUCGAGCAGAGGGAAAAGGAGUGAUCCGCUUUGAGAUGGCCUCGCGUCCGAUUAGCUGGUUGGUGAGGUAACGGCCCACCAAGGCGACGAUCGGUAGCCGGACUGAGAGGUUGAACGGCCACAUUGGGACUGAGACACGGCCCAG